AUUGAACGCUGGCGGCAGGCCUAACACAUGCAAGUCGAACGGUAGCAGGAAGAAGCUUGCUUCUUUGCUGACGAGUGGCGGACGGGUGAGUAAUGUCUGGGAAACUGCCUGAUGGAGGGGGAUAACUACUGGAAACGGUAGCUAAUACCGCAUAACGUCGCAAGACCAAAGAGGGGGACCUUCGGGCCUCUUGCCAUCAGAUGUGCCCAGAUGGGAUUAGCUAGUAGGUGGGGUAACGGCUCACCUAGGCGACGAUCCCUAGCUGGUCUGAGAGGAUGACCAGCCACACUGGAACGGAGACACGGUCCAGAAUCCUACGGGAGGCAGCAGUGGGGAAUAUUGCAAAAUGGGCGCAAGCCUGAUGCAGCCAUGCCGCGUGUGUGAAGAAGGCCUUCGGGUUGUAAAGCACUUUCAGCGGGGAGGAAGGGGGAAUGGUUAAUAACCAUUGCCAUUGACGUUACCCGCAGAAGAAGCACCGGCUAACUCCGUGCCAGCAGCCGCCGUAA
rnacentral:rRNA from 1 species